GCCAAAAUAGAGUCGACGACACAAAAACCAAAAAAAAAAGAAGAGAGGAGGAGGACAAGGACAGAUCAAUAUUUUCAUCUUCACGUUGUUGUUGUUGUUUUUGUUUUGUUUUUGUCUUUUGAAUCCUUAAUAAGAAUCUA
rnacentral:ribozyme from 13 species